GUGAAGAACGCAGCGAAAUGCGAUAAGUAGUGUGAAUUGCAGAAUUCAGUGAAUCAUCGAAUCUUUGAACGCACAUUGCGCCCCUUGGUAUCCCGAGGGGCAUGCCUGUUCGAGCGUCAUUUCACCACUCAAGCCUGGCUUGGUGUUGGGCGACGUCCUCUUUGGGGACGCGCCUCGAAACGCUCGGCGGCGUGGCACCGGCUUUAAGCGUAGCAGAAUCUUUCGCUUUGGAAGUCGGGGCCCCGUCUGCCGGAAGACCUGCUCGCAAGGUUGACCUCGGAUCAGGCAGGGAUACCCGCUGAACUUAAGCAUAUCAAUAAGCGGAGGA
rnacentral:misc_RNA from 1 species